rnacentral:tRNA from 1 species
GUCCCCAUCGUCUAGAGGCCUAGGACAUCGCCCUUUCACGGCGGUAACACGGGUUCGAACCCCGUUGGGGGCA